AGGAGAAAUGAGGAUGAUUAAUCACUUUUUCUGCUGUUUGAUGAUGAAUUCUUACAUGCACUACCAUCUGAUCUCUA